AGGGAUGAGAUAGCUCAGUGGUAGAGCUUCUGCUUUGCACGGAGACGGUCCCAGGUUCAAUCCCUGGCAUCUUCU